rnacentral:rRNA from 1 species
GACGAACGCUGGCGGCGUGCCUAAUACAUGCAAGUAGAACGCACAGUUUAUACCGUAGCUUGCUACACCAUAGACUGUGAGUUGCGAACGGGUGAGUAACGCGUAGGUAACCUGCCUGGUAGCGGGGGAUAACUAUUGGAAACGAUAGCUAAUACCGCAUAAUAUUAAUUAUUGCAUGAUAAUUAAUUGAAAGGUGCAAUUGCACCACUACCAGAUGGACAUGCGUUGUAUUAGCUAGUAGGUGAGGUAACGGCUCACCUAGGCGACGAUACAUAGCCGACCUAAGAAGGUGAUCUGCCACACUGGGACUGAGAAACGGCCCAGACUCCUACAGGAGGCAGCAGUAGGAAAUCUUCGGGAAUGGACGAAAGUCUGACCAAGCAACGCCGCGUGAGUGAAGAAGGUUUUCGGAUCGUAAAGCUCUGUUGUAAGAGAAGAACGGGUGUGGGAGUGGAAAGUUCACGCUGUGACGGUAUCUUACCAGAAAGCAACGGCUAACUACGUG